GGAAAGCGCCACCUGAGUCUAAACUUUCCGAGCGUGAAUAUGAAGACCGCCAGACUUGUACUCCUAUUGUGUACCCUGAGCUUUGUGACUGUCCUCCAGGCUUGUGUGGCAAAUGAGGGAAUAUGCCAGAUGCACAUGGACUGCUGCUCGGGAAAGUGCAUGACAUACAUGAGUAAAUGCGCCGCGAAGAUGUCUGGAUAAAAAAUUAUAUGACACAUUAACAUCCUUACAAAAAAAAACGACCUUUGCACAACAUCGUGCUUCUUAUAUAUCUAUCUAUAUUAUUUACAGUUUUUUUUUUCUAGAAUUUUUGUAAUUUGCGAUGUCACACUAUUUAUGGUAAUUACGUAAUUUAACAGUGUAAAAAGGCGCUACGUGGCAAUACCAAACCAUAUAAAGCGGCAAGAGCCACUUGAAUCUAAACUUUACCAGCGUGAAGAUGUGGACCGCCAGACUUGUAAAUUUUUUGUGUACUUUAUGCUUUGUGAUUUGUACGUCCGAGGUGUGCAGGAUGGGAAAGUGUAUACCUCCGUAAAGCGCUUGAUUACAAAAUGUAAAUAAAUAAAUAAAUUAAUUACAGUUUGUCUUCACUAUUAAACUCUAUGCUGGCAUCUUCUC